rnacentral:rRNA from 1 species
UACGGAGGGUGCAAGCGUUGCUCGGAAUUACUGGGCGUAAAGCGCGUGUAGGCGGUUUUGUGUGUCUGAUGUGAAAUCCCCGGGCUCAACCCGGGAAGUGCAUUGGAAACUGCGAGACUAGAGUCCCGGAGAGGAAGGUGGAAUUCCAGGUGUAGCGGUGAAAUGCGUAGAUAUCUGGAAGAACACCGGUGGCGAAGGCGGCCUUCUGGACGGUGACUGACGCUGAGACGCGAAAGCGUGGGGAGCAAACAGG